rnacentral:misc_RNA from 1 species
ACACCUCAACUCCCACGGUUCGCCGUGACGAGCUUGGACUUUGGGGGUUUGCCGGCCUCUGGUUGGCUCCCCUCAAACAAAUCAGCUUGCCAGCAUUUUGGCAGCGUCAUGGGUGUGAUAACUAUCUACGCUUGUGAUCGUCUGCCGAGUGACCUUCAGUGAUGGAGGUUCGCUGAAGCUUACAAACGUCUCUCCUCAGCGAAGACAGCUUUUUGAAC